rnacentral:rRNA from 1 species
GUAGGUGGCAAGCGUUGUCCGGAAUUAUUGGGCGUAAAGCGCGCGCAGGCGGUUCUUUAAGUCUGAUGUGAAAGCCCACGGCUCAACCGUGGAGGGUCAUUGGGAACUGGAGAACUUGAGUACAGAAGAGGAAAGCGGAAUUCCACGUGUAGCGGUGAAAUGCGUAGAGAUGUGGAGGAACACCAGUGGCGAAGGCGGCUUUCUGGUCUGUAACUGACGCUGAGGCGCGAAAGCGUGGGGAGCAAACAGGGAUUAGAUACCCUGGUAGUCCACGCCGUAAACGAUGAGUGCUAAGUGUUAGGGGGGUUUUCCGCCCCCUUAGUGCUGCAGCUAACGCAUUAAGCACUCCGCCUGGGGAUACGGCCGCAAGGCUG